AUACGUAGGGUGCAAGCGUUAAUCGGAAUUACUGGGCGUAAAGCGUGCGCAGGCGGUUUUGUAAGACAGAGGUGAAAUCCCCGGGCUCAACCUGGGAACUGCCUUUGUGACUGCAAGGCUAGAGGACGGCAGAGGGGGGUGGAAUUCCGCGGGUAGCAGUGAAAUGCGUAGAUAUGCGGAGGAACACCGGUGGCGAAGGCAAGCCCCUGGGCCUGGACUGACGCUCAUGCACGAAAGCGUGGGGAGCAAACAGGAUUAGAUACCCUGGUAGUCCACGCCCUAAACGAUGUCAACUGGUUGUUGGGUCUUCAUGGACUCAGUAACGAAGCUAACGCGUGAAGUUGACCGCCUGGGGAGUACGGCCGCAAGGUUGAAACUCAAAUGAAUUGGCGGGG
rnacentral:rRNA from 1 species